UACGGGGAGUGCGAGCGUUGUUCGGAAUUAUUGGGCGUAAAGCGCGUGUAGGCGGCUCGACAAGUCUGGAGUGAAAGCCCUCGGCUCAACCGAGGAAGCGCUUUGGAAACUGUCGGGCUUGAGUCCUGGAGGGGCGGGUGGAAUUCCCAGUGUAGAGGUGAAAUUCGUAGAUAUUGGGAGGAACACCAGUGGCGAAGGCGGCCCGCUGGACAGUGACUGACGCUGAGACGCGAAAGCGUGGGGAGCAAACAGG
rnacentral:rRNA from 1 species